rnacentral:sRNA from 1 species
GCCAGGAGUGGUAGUGCACACCUGUAAUCCCAGUGGCUCUGGAGGCUGAGGCAGGAGGAUCCCAAGUUCAAAGACAGCCUUGGCAACUUUGCAAAGCCCUAAGAAACUUAGCAAGACUCUGCCUCAA